rnacentral:rRNA from 1 species
GACGAACGCUGGCGGCGUGCCUAAUACAUGCAAGUCGAGCGAAUCUGAUCGGAUCUUGCUCCUUGAUGAUUAGCGGCGGACGGGUGAGUAACACGUGGGUAACCCGCCUGUAAGACUUGGAUAACUCCGGGAAACCGGGGCGAAAACCGUAUGACUUUUUUCUUUGCAUGCGGGCUGAUUGAAAGAUGGCUUCGGCUAUCACUUACAUAUGGACCCGCGGCGCAUUUGCUUGUUGAUGAGGUAACGGCUCACCAAGGCGACGAUGCGUAGACGACUCGAGAGGGGGAUCGGCCAAACCGGGACGGGAACACGGACCAGAAUACUGCGGGAGGCAGCAGUAGGGAAUCUUCCGCAAUGGACGAAAGUCUGACGGAGCAACGCCGCGUGAGUGAUGAAGGUUGUCGGAUCGUAAAACUCUGUUGUUAGGGAAGAACAAGUAUCGUUCGAAUAGGGCGGUACCUUGACGGUACCUAACCAGAAAGCCACGGCUAACUACGUG